rnacentral:rRNA from 1 species
CCUACGGGAGGCUGCAGUGGGGAAUAUUGCACAAUGGGGGAAACCCUGAUGCAGCGACGCCGCGUGAGUGAAGAAGUAUUUCGGUAUGUAAAGCUCUAUCAGCAGGGAAGAAAAUGACGGUACCUGAUUAAGAAGCCCCGGCAAACUACGUGCCAGCAGCCGCGGUAAUACGUAGGGGGCAAGCGUUAUCCGGAUUUACUGGGUGUAAAGGGAGCGUAGACGGCAGCGCAAGUCUGAAGUGAAAUGCCGGGGCUUAACCCCGGAACUGCCUUGGAAACUGUGCAGCUAGAGUGCAGGAGAGGUAAGUGGAAUUCGUAGUGUAGCGGUGAAAUGCGUAGAUAUUAGGAGGAACACCAGUGGCGAAGGCGGCUUACUGGACUGUAACUGACGUUGAGGCACGAAAGCGUGGGGAGCGAACAGGAUUAGAUACCCUUGUAGUC